GAUGAACGCUGGCGGUAUGCUUAACACACGCAAGUCGAACGGACUCUUCGGAGUUAGUGGCGGACGGGUGAGUAACGCGUGAGAAUCUGGCUUUGGGUUCGGGACAACCACUGGAAACGGUGGCUAAUACCGGAUGUGCCGAGAGGUAAAAGAGAAAUUGCCUGAAGAUGAGCUCGCGUCUGAUUAGCUAGUUGGUGAGGUAAAGGCUCACCAAGGCAGCGAUCAGUAGCUGGUCUGAGAGGAUGACCAGCCACACUGGGACUGAGACACGGCCCAGACUCCUACGGGAGGCAGCAGUGGGGAAUGUUCCGCAAUGGGCGAAAGCCUGACGGAGCAAUACCGCGUGAGGGAAGAAGGCUCUUGGGUUGUAAACCUCUUUUCUUAGGGAAGAACAAAAUGACGGUACCUAAGGAAUCAGCAUCGGCUAACUCCGUG
rnacentral:rRNA from 1 species